AACGAACGCUGGCGGCAUGCCUAACACAUGCAAGUCGAACGAGACCUUCGGGUCUAGUGGCGCACGGGUGCGUAACGCGUGGGAACCUGCCCUUAGGUUCGGAAUAACUCCCCGAAAGGGGUGCUAAUACCGGAUAAUGUCUUCGGACCAAAGAUUUGGCGCCGUUGGAUGGGCCCGAUUUGGAUUCGCUAGUUGGUAGGGUAAAAGCCUACCAAGGCGACGAUCCAUAGCUGGUCUGAGAGGGUGAUCAGUCACAUUGGAACUGAGACACGGUCCAAACUCCUACGGGAGGCAGCAGUGGGGAAUAUUGCACAAUGGAGGGAAGUCUGAUCCAGCGACGCCGCGUGAGCGAUGAAGGCAUUAGUUUCGUAAAGCUCUGUUCUAUGGGAAGAAAAGGACUGUACCAUAGGAGAAAGCCCCGGCUAACUCCGUG
rnacentral:rRNA from 1 species